UUAAGCGACUAAGCGUACACGGUGGAUGCCCUGGCAGUCAGAGGCGAUGAAGGACGUGCUAAUCUGCGAAAAGCGUCGGUAAGGUGAUAUGAACCGUUAUAACCGGCGAUGUCCGAAUGGGGAAACCCAGUGCAAUUCGUUGCACUAUCGUUAACUGAAUACAUAGGUUAACGAGGCGAACCGGGGGAACUGAAACAUCUAAGUACCCCGAGGAAAAGAAAUCAACCGAGAUUCCCCCAGUAGCGGCGAGCGAACGGGGAGCAGCCCAGAGUCUGAAUCAGCUUGUGUGUUAGUGGAACGGUCUGGAAAGUCCGACGGUACAGGGUGAUAGUCCCGUACACCAAAAUGCACAGGCUGUGAACUCGAAGAGUAGGGCGGGACACGUGGUAUCCUGUCUGAAUAUGGGGGGACCAUCCUCCAAGGCUAAAUACUCCUGACUGACCGAUAGUGAACCAGUACCGUGAGGGAAAGGCGAAAAGAACCCCGGCGAGGGGAGUGAAAAAGAACCUGAAACCGUGUACGUACAAGCAGUGGGAGCACCUUCGGGUGUGACUGCGUACCUUUUGUAUAAUGGGUCAGCGACUUAUAUUCUGUAGCAAGGUUAACCGUAUAGGGGAGCCGCAGGGAAACCGAGUCUUAACUGGGCGUUAAGUUGCAGGGUAUAGACCCGAAACCCGGUGAUCUAGCCAUGGGCAGGUUGAAGGUUGGGUAACACUAACUGGAGGACCGAACCGACUAAUGUUGAAAAAUUAGCGGAUGACUUGUGGCUGGGGGUGAAAGGCCAAUCAAACCGGGAGAUAGCUGGUUCUCCCCGAAAGCUAUUUAGGUAGCGCCUCGUGAACUCAUCUUCGGGGGUAGAGCACUGUUUCGGCUAGGGGGUCAUCCCGACUUACCAACCCGAUGCAAACUACGAAUACCGAAGAAUGUUAUCACGGGAGACACACGGCGGGUGCUAACGUCCGUCGUGAAGAGGGAAACAACCCAGACCGCCAGCUAAGGUCCCAAAGUCAUGGUUAAGUGGGAAACGAUGUGGGAAGGCACAGACAGCCAGGAUGUUGGCUUAGAAGCAGCCAUCAUUUAAAGAAAGCGUAAUAGCUCACUGGUCGAGUCGGCCUGCGCGGAAGAUGUAACGGGGCUAAACCAUGCACCGAAGCUGCGGCAGCGACACUAUGUGUUGUUGGGUAGGGAGCGUUCUGUAAGCCUGCGAAGGUGUGCUGUGAGGCAUGCUGGAGGUAUCAGAAGUGCGAAUGCUGACAUAAGUAACGAUAAAGCGGGUGAAAAGCCCGCUCGCCGGAAGACCAAGGGUUCCUGUCCAACGUUAAUCGGGGCAGGGUGAGUCGACCCCUAAGGCGAGGCCGAAAGGCGUAGUCGAUGGGAAACAGGUUAAUAUUCCUGUACUUGGUGUUACUGCGAAGGGGGGACGGAGAAGGCUAUGUUAGCCGGGCGACGGUUGUCCCGGUUUAAGCAUGUAGGCUGAUUGUCCAGGCAAAUCCGGAUAAUCAAGGCUGAGGUGUGAUGACGAGGCACUACGGUGCUGAAGUAACAAAUGCCCUGCUUCCAGGAAAAGCCUCUAAGCAUCAGGUAACAUUAAAUCGUACCCCAAACCGACACAGGUGGUCAGGUAGAGAAUACCAAGGCGCUUGAGAGAACUCGGGUGAAGGAACUAGGCAAAAUGGUGCCGUAACUUCGGGAGAAGGCACGCUGGUGUGUAGGUGAAGUCCCUGCGGAUGGAGCUGAGACCAGUCGAAGAUACCAGCUGGCUGCAACUGUUUAUUAAAAACACAGCACUGUGCAAACACGAAAGUGGACGUAUACGGUGUGACGCCUGCCCGGUGCCGGAAGGUUAAUUGAUGGGGUUAUCCGUAAGGAGAAGCUCUUGAUCGAAGCCCGGUAAACGGCGGCCGUAACUAUAACGGUCCUAAGGUAGCGAAAUUCCUUGUCGGGUAAGUUCCGACCUGCACGAAUGGCGUAAUGAUGGCCAGGCUGUCUCCACCCGAGACUCAGUGAAAUUGAACUCGCUGUGAAGAUGCAGUGUACCCGCGGCAAGACGGAAAGACCCCGUGAACCUUUACUAUAGCUUGACACUGAACAUUGAGCCUUGAUGUGUAGGAUAGGUGGGAGGCUUUGAAGCGUGGACGCCAGUCUGCGUGGAGCCAACCUUGAAAUACCACCCUUUAAUGUUUGAUGUUCUAACGUUGGCCCCUGACCGGGGUUGCGGACAGUGUCUGGUGGGUAGUUUGACUGGGGCGGUCUCCUCCCAAAGCGUAACGGAGGAGCACGAAGGUUAGCUAAUCCUGGUCGGACAUCAGGAGGUUAGUGCAAUGGCAUAAGCUAGCUUGACUGCGAGCGUGACGGCGCGAGCAGGUGCGAAAGCAGGUCAUAGUGAUCCGGUGGUUCUGAAUGGAAGGGCCAUCGCUCAACGGAUAAAAGGUACUCCGGGGAUAACAGGCUGAUACCGCCCAAGAGUUCAUAUCGACGGCGGUGUUUGGCACCUCGAUGUCGGCUCAUCACAUCCUGGGGCUGAAGUAGGUCCCAAGGGUAUGGCUGUUCGCCAUUUAAAGUGGUACGCGAGCUGGGUUUAGAACGUCGUGAGACAGUUCGGUCCCUAUCUGCCGUGGGCGCUGGAGAAUUGAGGGGGGCUGCUCCUAGUACGAGAGGACCGGAGUGGACGCAUCACUGGUGUUCGGGUUGUCAUGCCAAUGGCACUGCCCGGUAGCUAAAUGCGGAAGAGAUAAGUGCUGAAAGCAUCUAAGCACGAAACUUGCCCCGAGAUGAGUUCUCCCUGAGACUUUAAGUCUCCUGAAGGAACGUUAAAGACGAUGACGUUGAUAGGCCGGGUGUGUAAGCGCAGCGAUGCGUUGAGCUAACCGGUACUAAUGAACCGUGAGGCUUAACCU
rnacentral:rRNA from 1 species